rnacentral:miRNA from 10 species
ACCCAAUACCAAACAUGUCACU